rnacentral:rRNA from 1 species
UACGAAGGGGGCUAGCGUUGCUCGGAAUCACUGGGCGUAAAGGGUGCGUAGGCGGGUCUUUAAGUCAGGGGUGAAAUCCUGGAGCUCAACUCCAGAACUGCCUUUGAUACUGAGGAUCUUGAGUUCGGGAGAGGUGAGUGGAACUGCGAGUGUAGAGGUGAAAUUCGUAGAUAUUCGCAAGAACACCAGUGGCGAAGGCGGCUCACUGGCCCGAUACUGACGCUGGGGCACGAAAGCGUGGGGAGCAAACAGG